rnacentral:tRNA from 1 species
AGGUCGCUUAGCUCAGUUGGUUAGAGCGUGGUGCUAAUAACGCCAAGGUCGCGAGUUCGACCCUCGUAGUGACCA